CCUACGUGGGGCAGCAGUGGGGAAUAUUGGACAAUGGGCGAAAGCCUGAUCCAGCCAUGCCGCGUGUGUGAAGAAGGCCUUCGGGUUGUAAAGCACUUUCAGUGGGGAAGAAAGCCUUGGGGCUAAUACCCUCGAGGAAGGACAUCACCCACAGAAGAAGCACCGGCUAACUCCGUGCCAGCAGCCGCGGUAAUACGGAGGGUGCGAGCGUUAAUCGGAAUUACUGGGCGUAAAGCGCGCGUAGGCGGUCUGAUAAGCCGGUUGUGAAAGCCACGGGCUCAACCUGGGAACGGCAUCCGGAACUGUCAGGCUAGAGUGCAGGAGAGGAAGGUAGAAUUCCCGGUGUAGCGGUGAAAUGCGUAGAGAUCGGGAGGAAUACCAGUGGCGAAGGCGGCCUUCUGGACUGACACUGACGCUGAGGUGCGAAAGCGUGGGUAGCAAACAGGAUUAGAUACCCUAGUAGUC
rnacentral:rRNA from 1 species